UCGGGAAUUUUGGGCAAUGGGCGAAAGCCUGACCCAGCAACGCCGCGUGAAGGAUGAAGUAUUUCGGUAUGUAAACUUCGAAAGAAUAGGAAGAAUAAAUGACGGUACUAUUUAUAAGGUCCGGCUAACUACGUGCCAGCAGCCGCGGUAAUACGUAGGGACCAAAGCGUUGUUCGGAUUUACUGGGCGUAAAGGGCGCGUAGGCGGCAAUUCAAGUCAUCUGUGAAAUCUCCGGGCUUAACUCGGAACGGUCAGAUGAUACUGCUUUGCUAGAGUGCAGAAGGGGCAAUCGGAAUUCUUGGUGUAGCGGUGAAAUGCGUAGAUAUCAAGAGGAACACCUGAGGUGAAGACGGGUUGCUGGGCUGACACUGACGCUGAGGCGCGAAAGCCAGGGGAGCAAACGGGAUUAGAUACCCACGUAGUCCCUGAGCGGGCUGGCAAGGCGCAU
rnacentral:rRNA from 1 species